rnacentral:lncRNA from 1 species
GACCACGAACCCACCAGAAGGAAGAAACUCUGAACACAUCUGAACGUCAGAAGGAGCAAACUCCAGACGUGCCACCUUAAGAGCUGUAACACUCACUGCGAGGGUCCGCAGCUUCAUUCUUGAAGUCAGUGAGACCAAGUUCCGGACACAUUCUCAGGGCCAAAAUGGCUGACUAGAAGCAGCUACAGUGUGUAGCUCUCAGGGAGAGGAAGGAAAGGGAAGAGUAAAUACAGCACCUUCAACUGAAAUAUCCAGGUAUUCACAUUGGGACUGACCAGGGAAACAGCUGGACCCACAGAGAACGAAGAAAAGCAGGGCAGGGUGAUGGCCUGCACGAGAGUGACACGGAGCCAAGGGAACCUCCCCCUCCCAGGGAAGUGGGCAUGAAAGGUUCAAAUAGAAAAGCAGCAUGGUGAUGGGGCUGACUGUUCCAGAAUUGAUGUGCCCGUGCUCCGUGAGGAACGCAGCUCAUCUGUACCAGCAAAUGUGUUGGCUC